rnacentral:rRNA from 1 species
UUGGAGGGCAAGUCUGGUGCCAGCAGCCGCGGUAAUUCCAGCUCCAAUAGCGUAUAUUAAAGUUGUUGCAGUUAAAAAGCUCGUAGUUGAAUUUCGGGAUCAAUGUUUCGGUCAUGCCGUUGGUAUGUACUGAUAUUAUUGAUUUCUCACCUUCUAAAGAACCGUAAUGCCAUUAAUUUGGUGUCACGGGGAAUUAGGACUGUUACCUUGAAAAAAUUAGAGUGUUUAAAGCAGGCUCACGCUUGAAUACAUUAGCAUGGAAUAAUGAAAUAGGACAUCCGAUUCUAUUUUGUUGGUUUCUAGGAUCGAUGUAAUGAUUGAUAGGGAUAGUUGGGGGCAUUAGUAUUCAAUUGUCAGAGGUGAAAUUCUUGGAUUUAUUGAAGACUAACUACUGCGAAAGCAUUUGCCAAGGAUGUUUUCAUUAAUCAAGAACGAAAGUUAGGGGAUCGAAGACGAUCAGAUACCGUCGUAGUCUUAACCAUAAACUAUGCCGACUAGGGAUCGGAUGAUGUUGAUUUUUUAAUGACUCAUUCGGCGCCUUACGGGAAAC